UACGUAGGUGACAAGCGUUGUCCGGAUUUACUGGGCAUAAAGAGCGCGCAGGCGGUCGUUCAAGUCGAGUGUGAAAGCCCCCGGCUCAACUGGGGAGGGUCACUCGAUACUGAUCGACUCGAAGGCAGGAGAGGGUAGUGGAAUUCCCGGUGUAGUGGUGAAAUGCGUAGAUAUCGGGAGGAACACCAGUGGCGAAGGCGACUACCUGGCCUGUUCUUGACGCUGAGGCGCGAAAGCUAGGGGAGCAAACGGG
rnacentral:rRNA from 1 species